rnacentral:rRNA from 1 species
UACAGAGGAUGCAAGCGUUAUCCGGAAUCACUGGGCAUAAAGCGUCUGUAGGUUGUUUAGUAAGUCUGCUGUUAAAGACUGGGGCUCAACCCCAGAAAAGCAGUGGAAACUGCUAGACUUGAGUGUGGUAGAGGUAGAGGGAAUUCCUAGUGUAGCGGUGAAAUGCGUAGAUAUUAGGAAGAACACCAAUGGCGAAGGCACUCUACUGGGCCAUAACUGACACUGAGAGACGACAGCUAGGGGAGCAAAUGGGAUUAGAUACCCCAGUAGUCCUAGCCGUAAACGAUGGAUACUAGAUGUUGCACGUUUACCGCAGUAUCGUAGCUAAGGCGUUAAGUAUCCCGCCUGGGAAGUACGCUCGCAAGAGUG